rnacentral:rRNA from 1 species
UACGUAGGGAGCAAGCGUUGUUCGGAUUUACUGGGCGUAAAGGGCGCGUAGGCGGCGCGGUAAGUCACUUGUGAAAUCUCUGAGCUUAACUCAGAACGGCCAAGUGAUACUGCAGUGCUAGAGUGCAGAAAGGGCAAUCGGAAUUCUUGGUGUAGCGGUGAAAUGCGUAGAUAUCAGGAGGAACACCAAUAGCGAAGGCAGCUCGCUGGGACGGUACUGACGCUAAGGCGCGAAAGCGUGGGGAGCGAACAGG